rnacentral:rRNA from 1 species
CUACGGGGGGCUGCAGACGAGAAAACUUUGCAAUGUGCGAAAGCACGACAAGGUUAAUCCGAGUGGUUUCUGCUAAAGAAACCUUUUGUCAGUCCUAGAAACACUGAUGAAUAAGGGGUGGGCAAGUUCUGGUGUCAGCCGCCGCGGUAAAACCAGCACCUCAAGUGGUCAGGAUGAUUAUUGGGCCUAAAGCAUCCGUAGCUCGUUUUGUAAGUUUUCGGUUAAAUCCAUGCGCUUAACGUAUGGGCUGCCGGGAAUACUGCAUAACUAGGAAGUGGGAGAGGUAGACGGUACUCGGUAGGAAGGGGUAAAAUCCUUUGAUCUAUUGAUGACCACCUGUGGCGAAGGCGGUCUACCAGAACACGUUCGACGGUGAGGGAUGAAAGCUGGGGGAGCAAACCGGAUUAGAUACCCGCGUAGUC